rnacentral:rRNA from 1 species
GGUUAAGCGACUAAGCGUACACGGUGGAUGCCCUGGCAGUCAGAGGCGAUGAAGGACGUGCUAAUCUGCGAAAAGCGUCGGUAAGGUGAUAUGAACCGUUACAGCCGGCGAUGUCCGAAUGGGGAAACCCAGUGCAAUUCGUUGCACUAUCGUUAACUGAAUACAUAGGUUAACGAGGCGAACCGGGGGAACUGAAACAUCUAAGUACCCCGAGGAAAAGAAAUCAACCGAGAUUCCCCCAGUAGCGGCGAGCGAACGGGGAGCAGCCCAGAGUCUGAAUCAGCUUGUGUGUUAGUGGAACGGUCUGGAAAGUCCGACGGUACAGGGUGAUAGUCCCGUACACCAAAAUGCACAGGCUGUGAACUCGAAGAGUAGGGCGGGACACGUGGUAUCCUGUCUGAAUAUGGGGGGACCAUCCUCCAAGGCUAAAUACUCCUGACUGACCGAUAGUGAACCAGUACCGUGAGGGAAAGGCGAAAAGAACCCCGGCGAGGGGAGUGAAAAAGAACCUGAAACCGUGUACGUACAAGCAGUGGGAGCACCUUCGGGUGUGACUGCGUACCUUUUGUAUAAUGGGUCAGCGACUUAUAUUCUGUAGCAAGGUUAACCGUAUAGGGGAGCCGCAGGGAAACCGAGUCUUAACUGGGCGUUAAGUUGCAGGGUAUAGACCCGAAACCCGGUGAUCUAGCCAUGGGCAGGUUGAAGGUUGGGUAACACUAACUGGAGGACCGAACCGACUAAUGUUGAAAAAUUAGCGGAUGACUUGUGGCUGGGGGUGAAAGGCCAAUCAAACCGGGAGAUAGCUGGUUCUCCCCGAAAGCUAUUUAGGUAGCGCCUCGUGAACUCAUCUUCGGGGGUAGAGCACUGUUUCGGCUAGGGGGUCAUCCCGACUUACCAACCCGAUGCAAACUACGAAUACCGAAGAAUGUUAUCACGGGAGACACACGGCGGGUGCUAACGUCCGUCGUGAAGAGGGAAACAACCCAGACCGCCAGCUAAGGUCCCAAAGUCAUGGUUAAGUGGGAAACGAUGUGGGAAGGCACAGACAGCCAGGAUGUUGGCUUAGAAGCAGCCAUCAUUUAAAGAAAGCGUAAUAGCUCACUGGUCGAGUCGGCCUGCGCGGAAGAUGUAACGGGGCUAAACCAUGCACCGAAGCUGCGGCAGCGACACUAUGUGUUGUUGGGUAGGGGAGCGUUCUGUAAGCCUGCGAAGGUGACCUGUGAGGGUUGCUGGAGGUAUCAGAAGUGCGAAUGCUGACAUAAGUAACGAUAAAGCGGGUGAAAAGCCCGCUCGCCGGAAGACCAAGGGUUCCUGUCCAACGUUAAUCGGGGCAGGGUGAGUCGACCCCUAAGGCGAGGCCGAAAGGCGUAGUCGAUGGGAAACAGGUUAAUAUUCCUGUACUUGGUGUUACUGCGAAGGGGGGACGGAGAAGGCUAUGUUAGCCGGGCGACGGUUGUCCCGGUUUAAGCAUGUAGGCUGGUUAUCCAGGCAAAUCCGGAUAAUCAAGGCUGAGGUGUGAUGACGAGGUACUACGGUGCUGAAGUAACAAAUGCCCUGCUUCCAGGAAAAGCCUCUAAGCAUCAGGUAACAUUAAAUCGUACCCCAAACCGACACAGGUGGUCAGGUAGAGAAUACCAAGGCGCUUGAGAGAACUCGGGUGAAGGAACUAGGCAAAAUGGUGCCGUAACUUCGGGAGAAGGCACGCUGGUGUGUAGGUGAAGUCCCUGCGGAUGGAGCUGAGACCAGUCGAAGAUACCAGCUGGCUGCAACUGUUUAUUAAAAACACAGCACUGUGCAAACACGAAAGUGGACGUAUACGGUGUGACGCCUGCCCGGUGCCGGAAGGUUAAUUGAUGGGGUUAUCCGUAAGGAGAAGCUCUUGAUCGAAGCCCCGGUAAACGGCGGCCGUAACUAUAACGGUCCUAAGGUAGCGAAAUUCCUUGUCGGGUAAGUUCCGACCUGCACGAAUGGCGUAAUGAUGGCCAGGCUGUCUCCACCCGAGACUCAGUGAAAUUGAACUCGCUGUGAAGAUGCAGUGUACCCGCGGCAAGACGGAAAGACCCCGUGAACCUUUACUAUAGCUUGACACUGAACAUUGAGCCUUGAUGUGUAGGAUAGGUGGGAGGCUUUGAAGCGUGGACGCCAGUCUGCGUGGAGCCAACCUUGAAAUACCACCCUUUAAUGUUUGAUGUUCUAACGUUGGCCCCUGACCGGGGUUGCGGACAGUGUCUGGUGGGUAGUUUGACUGGGGCGGUCUCCUCCCAAAGCGUAACGGAGGAGCACGAAGGUUAGCUAAUCCUGGUCGGACAUCAGGAGGUUAGUGCAAUGGCAUAAGCUAGCUUGACUGCGAGCGUGACGGCGCGAGCAGGUGCGAAAGCAGGUCAUAGUGAUCCGGUGGUUCUGAAUGGAAGGGCCAUCGCUCAACGGAUAAAAGGUACUCCGGGGAUAACAGGCUGAUACCGCCCAAGAGUUCAUAUCGACGGCGGUGUUUGGCACCUCGAUGUCGGCUCAUCACAUCCUGGGGCUGAAGUAGGUCCCAAGGGUAUGGCUGUUCGCCAUUUAAAGUGGUACGCGAGCUGGGUUUAGAACGUCGUGAGACAGUUCGGUCCCUAUCUGCCGUGGGCGCUGGAGAAUUGAGGGGGGCUGCUCCUAGUACGAGAGGACCGGAGUGGACGCAUCACUGGUGUUCGGGUUGUCAUGCCAAUGGCACUGCCCGGUAGCUAAAUGCGGAAGAGAUAAGUGCUGAAAGCAUCUAAGCACGAAACUUGCCCCGAGAUGAGUUCUCCCUGAGACUUUAAGUCUCCUGAAGGAACGUUAAAGACGAUGACGUUGAUAGGCCGGGUGUGUAAGCGCAGCGAUGCGUUGAGCUAACCGGUACUAAUGAACCGUGAGGCUUAACCUU